rnacentral:tRNA from 1 species
CAAAAUAUACAUAAUUUUAAUGUGUCUCUCCCACGUUGAGAUGAUAAUUUUGAGAAAAUUAUUUUUUA